AAACCUCAACCUCCCUGGUUUCUUCUUGAGACCAAAGGAGGCUUGGACUUUGGAGGCCUUUGCUGGCGUCUCUGCCAGCUCCUCUCAAAUGAAUUAGUGGGGUCCUCUUUGCCGAUCCUUGACAUGUGAUAAGAUGCUUCCGUGUCUCGGUUUCUGGCUCUGUUGCUUUCGGGACCCGCUUCUAACCGUCUAGACCCUUGCGUUGAGACAACGUUCGAGCACGUCUCCCUUGUCGGGAAACGUUCUCGGCCUCACGAACA
rnacentral:misc_RNA from 1 species